CGUAGGAGGCGAGCGUUGUCCGGAUUUACUGGGCGUAAAGAGCGCGCAGGCGGCAUGUCAAGUAAGGUGUGAAAUCUCCCUGCUCAACGGGGAGGGCGCACAUUAGACUGGCAAGCUAGAGGACGGUAGGAGGGGGGUGGAAUUGCUGGUGUAGCGGUGAAAUGCGUAGAGAUCAGCAGGAACCACCCGUGGCGAAGGCCGGCCCCCGUGGGCCGAACCUGACGCUGAGGCGCGAAGGCGUAGGGGAGCGAACGGGAUUAGACUACCCCGGUAGUCCUAGCAAGUAAACGAUGGCCACUAGGUGUGGGGGGUGUUGACCCCUUCCGUGCCGAAGCUAACGCAUUAAGUGGCCCGCCUGGGGAGUACGGUCGCAAGACUA
rnacentral:rRNA from 1 species